CCCCUUCCUGCCCCGAAUCCAGAUUAGAGGGCCGUGUGACGAGAUGAGGAAGGAGGGCAGCCCGUCGCAGUCCUCCUUGGAUACUAACGAUACCGCAGAAUCACAGGAACUGACGGGGACAAGAGAUGACGACAUGAUUAAUGUCACUGGGUCGUCGAGACGCUCGCCCCUCUCGAUCACCUUGGAGAUGUUCUCCUGCAUCACGUCAAUCACCUCGUCCACCUGCGACUGCACACUGAGCACCAUGGAGACACCACAGAGUCAUCGACAGGUGCUGUGGAAUCGCAGAGACUCAAGGGUGGUGACCAUCAACCAACCCUGAUGAAGUCGCCACAACAGAAUUCAAGAUGGGGUGCUUGGUGUUGCUAGGCUGGAGCUUGGCAAAGACAGCUUUCGCUCUCAUGUAAUAAAUGACGAAAAGGACUGUUUAAAUGCCAAUUGCAACCGAACCAGGGAACGUCCGGCUCCAUUCACCGAUCCGGUGAAUUUUGCCGUUCAGCUCUUUGAUGGCUGAGGAGAUUUCCGUCCAGCUGGUGGUGUUGGCAUGGCAACAAAAAGAAAAAUUGGUCCUCUGCUUGCCCUCAUCCAUGUGACCUGAAAGCUGUUUAUAUCAAGCUCACACACACACACACAGACAC